UGUUUAUUAGUUCGUAGCAGAACAAAAUGCUGCUUAAUUUCGAGAGACAUGCUGACGAAAGCAUCUUUGGUUAGAAGGCAAAGGGAUUUCAAACCUAAUUUCACUCCUAAAGAAAGAAAACAACAAGAUCCAUUGUGUUGCUACAGUAUCAGUAAUAAAGUGAAGAUUGUGGUACUUUGAAAAAAUAUAGUUGCUGACCUGCUUCAAUGUACUGGAAAGCCUUCAUGGGGAGGAGACCAAGUCCCUUGAAGAGAAAAGGACAGAAACAGCCGAGCAAAAGGCUUAAACCUGGCCUAGCUGUGUGGAGUUAUAAAAUACUGAUGUCACUCAUGACUUGAGCUGAAUCACGUAGUUGAAGAGCUCGUUGGAGACCACAACAAGGGUGGACCACUCGCUUCCAUGGACAGAGAAAAGGGGGAAGAGAAAGAAAAAAUAAAGCUGCCACUUUACAGAGCCGACAACAAAGCUUGUGCUCAAUAGCUCAGUCAGCAGCAAAGUCAAGCAUUACACUUCCUCCAAAUCAAGACAAGCAAACGCAAACAGAGCGAAAGCUAGAAGUGUAACUCACCAGCCUCCUGGUCGAGAGUCUUUAAGUAAUAUUUUGAAUAAUGACAUGUGUGUGUGGUUAGUAUUCAGCAGGUUAACUAUGCUACCUUCUCAUCCCAAACAAAGUCUUUUACAAGACAAACAUAAUGACAGUACUGAUUAAUUAGCAGGCCUCAACCCCCAGCACUCAAGCAUGAUUUAUUAAGACACGUCUCUAACAUAAGGCAUUGUGCUGGCGGGAUUAAUGUAACUGGGUUGAGGAUCUCACUGGAACAUUGCAUUUAUAGUACAUAAAGUAUUAACCCUCUGAGAUCCCUUAUCUCCUUCAGCUGACAGAAUAUCUAUUGUAUGAAAAACACAUAAAUAUAUGUGUUUCACCAAGUUACUUUCCAAUAAAUCAGGAGCACAGUUCUGUUCUAGAAUUGUGACAGUUGUUAGGAUGUUAAAAAUGUAUAUGUUUGUAAUUAUGUACUAAUUUUAUAAGCACAUUUAAGUCAGAGUGUUUCACAAUGCCUUUCCCAAACUUAAACCUUAUUUAACAAUUACUUAUUUUAACUGAAAAAAGAAUCCUGAAUUCACUGACACCAUCGUCAAGAUGUUGCCUCUCUUAAUGGGUACCACCAAUCCUGUUGUGUAGUGAUAGAAAAAUAAUGAGUUGUGUGUUUUCAUUACUCUAAUCCCUCUUUGUGGAUACAACAUGAAAUAAUAUUCGAAUAUAUCAGUGCAGCACAAUUACAACAGUUAUUUUGCGAGCCUCUUUUUAAGCAGCUGUCCUAAAUUUUGCAACAUUGUGGCUGCAAUCAAAGAUUGAUUUCAGUGUUUAGUAUUUUCCAAACUGUUGCAGAUUUUUUUUCCUGUGAAAGCUUCUACUAUCUUUCACUUCUGCGAGGUGAAUCUACUGAAUCAAAUUUAUUGCUAGUUUAAAAUCUCAAAUAUGAGAAAUUUCAGGGCACCAGUCUUUAGAUGCUAAGUUGACUAAGUUCCCUAGAUGAUUGUAGAAUAUGUCUCCAGGUAUAUUAUAGGAGAACCAACUUUUUUAAGUUGACCAAUAUCAGCAUUUAGAAUCCUCAUUAAGAAUUUUGGGAUAUCGCUAUCUAGAUGUGAGCUUGUGAGCGUAAAAGUUUGGGACUACAUUCUUUUAUACUUGCUGAUAAAUAUUUACUGUAAAACUAAUUCUAGAUUAUUUUACAUGGAUGGCUACAGUGUCCUGUAAUAUAUAGUACUUAAAGGCAAUGACUUCACUUAAGCAGAAAGCAAUUAUUUUAGGAAGAGUAAAUAUUCAAUGCUACAUUCCCACAGUGAGUGUUGGCCUUAUAGUCAAUCAAAUAUAGCUAUAAUGUAACUAUUCUACUUUAAAAUUACAUGCAAUUUUAAAAUCAAACUUUAAAACCCCCUUUUGAUAUUCAAAUAAGGAAGAUUUAAACAAAAUUAUGCUCAAACUCCAAUGUAAUUGUUUUAAAGUGUCUUUUUCUCAGCCUUCAAGGCUAAAUGGUGAUAAACCCAACUCUCUGUGUUCUGAGAAUGUUGACCUAUAUCCCUGCAUUUGUGUGCAUCUAUGUUUUAUGCUAGCUUUUUAAGAACUGUAGUUUGCUGAACAGAAUUUAUGUUAACUGCAAGUAAAUAAUCUUAUUAUUUUUGUUUCAUUUGUCUUUUUAUGAAUGUUCAUAAAUGAAUUUAUUGAUGUUCAGUGUUCCUUGAUCUGGAUUUGGUCACAGUGUUUGGCUAUUUUGCAACAGUAAAUUUAUGGCGCUCCCUUCUGCACAACAUUUUCUCACUAACUUCUUAGUAUAUAUUCAAAUGAUAAAAAUACAUGUAAUUUUUGAUAUGAUAUGAUACAAUAGUGAGUAAGAUAUUCAUAUGUAAUGAUGGUUAAUUUCAAAUUACACCACAAUACUGAAAUUACUCAAAAGUUAUGCAGAAGCUUUUUUAUAGAUGUUCAUUCAUACAGGAAGUGUAAUGACUCUUUUGUUCGCCUCACUCCUUUAUGCAGACCAUAAUGCAUAGCAAUUAAUUAAUUAGUAAUCAUUAUAAGAAUCUUGGCAAACCUGUAUCUUGAAGUAGACAAGGAAUCUGUGAUAUUAUUGUUCUCAUAUUCCUGCUUUAGAACGCAAUUUAAAACCUUUACUCACUAUCCUUUAUCUACUGCUAAAUUUAAUUUUAUAAUAUGAAUAAUCACAUUGAGCAUAGCCAAAUUCACACAGGUCAUAGAGAGUAUUUCUGUGUUUGUACCUGAUUAUUUUUCUUGUAUAUUUAGAUAAUACUAGUCUAAAAUAAUUUACUCCCUCUCCAUUCCAAGUUUAGACU